GGGUGCAAGCGUUACUCGGAAUUACUGGGCGUAAAGCGUGCGUAGGUGGUUUGUUAAGUCUGAUGUGAAAGCCCUGGGCUCAACCUGGGAACUGCAUUGGAAACUGGCUUACUAGAGUGCGGUAGAGGGGUGUGGAAUUCCCGGUGUAGCAGUGAAAUGCGUAGAUAUCGGGAGGAACAUCUGUGGCGAAGGCGACACCCUGGACCAGCACUGACACUGAGGCACGAAAGCGUGGGGAGCAAACAGG
rnacentral:rRNA from 1 species